rnacentral:rRNA from 1 species
UGCUAUCGGAUUGAUACUAAGCCAUGCGAGUCAUUGUAGUAAUACAAGGCAGACGGCUCAGCAACGCGUAGUCAACCUAACCUAUGGACGGGGAUAAUCUCGGGAAACUGAGCAUAAUACCCGAUAGAACAUUAUGCCUGGAAUGGUUUAUGUUCCAAAUGAUUUAUCGCCGUAGGAUGGGACUGCGGCCUAUCAGUUUGUUGGUGAGGUAAUGGCCCACCAAGACUAUUACAGGUACGGGCUCUGAGAGGAGUAGCCCGGAGAUGGGUACUGAGACACGGACCCAGGCCCUAUGGGGCGCAGCAGGCGAGAAAACUUUGCAAUGUGCGAAAGCACGACAAGGUUAAUCCGAGUGGUUUCUGCUAAAGGAACCUUUUGACAGUCCUAGAAACACUGUUGAAUAAGGGGUGGGCAAGUUCUGGUGUCAGCCGCCGCGGUAAAACCAGCACCUCAAGUGGUCAGGAUGAUUAUUGGGCCUAAAGCAUCCGUAGCCGGCUCUGUAAGUUUUCGGUUAAAUCUGUACGCUCAACGUACAGGCUGCCGGGAAUACUGCAGAGCUAGGGAGUGGGAGAGGUAGACGGUACUCGGUAGGAAGGGGUAAAAUCCUUUGAUCUAUUGAUGACCACCUGUGGCGAAGGCGGUCUACCAGAACACGUCCGACGGUGAGGGGAUGAAAGCUGGGGGAGCAAACCGGAUUAGAUACCCGGGGUAGUCCCAGCUGUAAACCAUGCAAACUCAGUGAUGCAUUGGCCUGUGGCCAAUGCAGUGCUGCAGGGAAGCCGUUAAGUUUGCCGCCUGGGAAGUACGUACGCAAGUAUGAAACUUAAAGGAAUU